rnacentral:piRNA from 1 species
UCACAACAGUUUAGAGGACUUAAGGAGGCC